UCAGCCAUGGCCGCGUGAGUGAAAGGAAGAACCUUCGGGUUGUAAACUCUUUCGGACGGAAAGAAAUCGUGCAGGGAUAAUACCCUGCGCGGAGUGAACGGUACCGUCAUAAGAAGCACCGGCUAACUACGUGCCAGCAGCCGCGGUAAU
rnacentral:rRNA from 1 species